GACGAACGCUGGCGGCGUGCCUAAUACAUGCAAGUAGAACGCACAGUAUAUACCGUAGCUUGCUACACCAUAGACUGUGAGUUGCGAACGGGUGAGUAACGCGUAGGUAACCUGCCUGGUAGCGGGGGAUAACUAUUGGAAACGAUAGCUAAUACCGCAUAAUAUUAAUUAUUGCAUGAUAAUUGAUUGAAAGAUGCAACUGCAUCACUACCAGAUGGACCUGCGUUGUAUUAGCUAGAAGGUGAGGUAACGGCUCACCUAGGCGACGAUACAUAGCCGACCUGAGAGGGUGAUCGGCCACACUGGGACUGAGACACGGCCCAGACUCCUACGGGAGGCAGCAGUAGGGAAUCUUCGGCAAUGGACGAAAGUCUGACCGAGCAACGCCGCGUGAGUGAAGAAGGUUUUCGGAUCGUAAAGCUCUGUUGUAAGAGAAGAACGGGUGUGAGAGUGGAAAGUUCACACUGUGACGGUAUCUUACCAGAAAGGGACGGCUAACUACGUGCCAGCAGCCGCGGUAAUACGUAGGUCCCGAGCGUUGUCCGGAUUUAUUGGGGCGUAAAGCGAGCGCACGCGGUUAGAUAAGUCUGAAGUUAAAGGCUGUGGCUAACCAUAGUACGCUUUGGAAACUGUUUAACUUGAGUGGCAGAAGGGGGAGAGUGAAAUCCCUGUGAGCGGGUGAAAGUGCGGAGAUAUAUGGGAGGAAACACCGGGUGGCGAAAGCGGCUCUCUGUGCUUGUAACUGAACUAGAGGCUCGAAAGCGUGGGGAGCAAAAGGGAUAAAUACCCUAGUAUUCCAAGGGCGAUAUCUCCAUUGGGUUGUGCCUCGGGGGAGGACCUACUUCUAGAGGGCCGCCGCCGGGGGGCUCCACUCUUCCUUCCAAUAAGAGAGUAUAUCACGCCCCCUGCUGCCGAUUUAUACAACGAGG
rnacentral:rRNA from 1 species